rnacentral:lncRNA from 1 species
GGAAGGGAGGAUCGCCGGCGAUUGCUGCGCGAGGAGGAGGGAGGAGAGUGGUGGAUAGAGAAAAAAAGAAGAGCUUGUUCUUUUUGGUAGAAAAUCAGAUUGGUUAUGUGGGGGGAUUUGGAUUCUUUUUGCUCGAGGUGGACAUUCUAGGGGGUUGCCAAUUCGCUGGAUUGGUGGCGAUGUACAAUUCGUUGAUAGUGCUAGGAAAGACUGGGAUUUUGUUCUGUUGUUAUUGACGAUUCUUUCAUUCAUAAUAAGACUAUGUGUUCUUGAUCUGAAACUCUGGUCUCUGCAUUUUUGGGUUGCGUCAAAUUCAGUUGAAUUGAGUGGAUUCUCACUGUAUGUUGUAUCUGGUUCUGAUGUGGUUUCUCCUUGGAAGGCUUACACUAUCGCUCGAAUGUCAAUCUGAUGAAGAACAUAGCUGAGUUCUGCAUUUUUGUAGAAUUCAGAACCAGGGCAACCAUGUCCUUCAGAUUGAUGGAGGCAUGGGCUGAAAUGUUGAACUGAAAAAGAGCAAUUUUCGCCGGCAAAAUUGGCUGUUCCUGAUGUACUACAUUCUCCUGUGAUUGCACAAUUCCUCUGUUAUACUACAACUCUGUUCAUUAUUUCUCUUCUGCAGGAAAUCAAUACUACACACAAGGGGCUUGUGACUGGGGAGGUUCAAAGUUUCUCUUCAAAAUCCCCUGUGCCCAAUCAAUUUCCCGCCUGGUUUAGUGCUACUAUUUGAACUGCCCAUCAACUACAUUUGUUCUUGAGCAACACAUCUCUAAACAAGUGAACAUAUCAUAAUUUAGGAUGUCAAAUCAUUUUGCUUGCACCACAAUCAAAGUGGCUAUUUGCUGUUUAACUUAUCCGCUCGCCAGCUAGCCCAGGCCACUAGUACAAUCAUCCCAACUGAUGAGGAGCUCCUGCUAGCUCAUAGCCGAAGCCUUGAAGCACCUCCAACCAAAUGGAAGACUCCCAUAGCUCCUCCAUAGUUUAUGCACACAUGUCAAAGCUCACCCACCUUUACACAAGCACAAGAAAGGUCCAGCCAGGAGGCAGCCAGCCAAUGAUGAGCUAGGGGAGCUGCAACUGCAAGUCUAGUGCAGUUUCCAGUGCAGCUAAUCAUCGGUGUCUUCUAAUCUUGCUUCCUCCUCUCGCUUUGCCUUUUGGCCUCCUCCGUGCUGUGCACUUUGUUUGAAAUGUGAUGAAUCGUGAACUCCUCCCCUCUCUCGUCUCCACCAACCGGGCAUCAUCGGCCACCCCCCCUUUUUGAUAGCCCUGCAUGAUUGAUUAUAAAGGAAAAGGAGAGAAAAGCCAUUGUUCUUGGGAAAUCCGGUACCUGCAAUGAUGGUGCAUUUCGUGGUGGCGUUGUAGGAACACGUCGUUUUCGCCUAGUGCUGUUUUCAUGUGAGAGAUGCUUUCUGGCCGGCGAUCCAUGAACCAUCCGCCUACUGACGAAGGAACUGGAUCCGAUCCGUUCUGACCUCCGAUCAGAAACAUCGACCGUCGCAGCGGUCGGUAGCAUCUCCUUUUCGAGACGAGAAAUUAGGCGGUGGCGUAUCUGUCCAGAAUCUAACGGCGAGCGGAGGCCGUCGUCGGCGCAAAAGUUACUGCGGUGAUCCGAGUGGAGGGUGGGCACUGUUCCUACUAUCGGACCAUGGACUGUGGCAGCGGCCGGAUUUGGCCGCCAUUACUGGCGUUGGUGCCUCCAUUAUUGAUGGUGGCCACCGGAUUCAGGUGGUGCGGCAGGCGGCAGGAGGUACACGCGCGCAGUAAACUCGGUCGAUGGCCGACGGAGGGAGGGGAGGGGAGGGGAGGGGGAGGGCCGUCGGCGCGCGGCGACGGCUUCGGAUUCGGCGGCAUGUCGUAAUGGCACGGGCUGGUGCUGGACCGGGAGUGCCUGUCCUCUUGCGGAAGCGAGCUGCCGUCUGCGCUGAAAUCAAAUCGUCGUCGUAAUGGAACGUGGCAGCGCUGGGUUACGUCCCAAGAUUUACUGGGAGGUGGCCGUGGUGAAGAAUGGAUCGACUGUUCACGCCUUCCUUUAAUUUGUAGGAACUUUGUAGGAAUUCUAUAGGAUAGGAUUUGCAAAGAAAAAAUUCGCGCUUUGGUUUGUAGAAACGGAUUCCUAUGGAUAGGAAUUAGUCCUUCACAUUUUGAAGGAAAAAAAAACAUUAAUCUAGAGUCAAUGAAAAAAUACUAUCCUAUACACCAAAUGACAUCUCUUUCUCUUUAGGAAUUGAGAUGCAUGUCACCUCACUUUCUGUGAUUUUUUCUAUUCCUAUAAAAUUCUUAUCCUAUGAAUCAAAGAAGGCCUCUGUUCUGAGAGUAAAAGAUGCGCAACGAAAUUUGCGCCAGGUCAAAUUUGGUACUACUCUCUCCAUUCCAAAAUAUAGUGCAUCUUUGGUUCCCGUGCUUCAACUUUGACUAUAAAUUUAACCAACUAUGUCCAUCGGAGGGAGUACUGUAGUAAUGCGCAAAAGAAAAACCGGAGUGUAUCUGUUUGGAAUUACCCGUCCAAGAAAUGAAUGUAUUUAGAUGUAUUUUAAUUGUAGAUACAUCCAUUUUUGUGACAAGUAAUUUCAUACGGUCAAGUUUCUUUGAAAGCACGCAAGCACAUAAACCUUUGUGAAAAUGUCCAAGCCUCAAACACGCACUCUUGCAUGUACAUUUGCCCGCUGAAUUUUGUUGCUGAAAAAUCGUUGUGUUGUUCUGCUAGAAAGAGAGGUUUCAUUUCAUCGGGCAUGAUCCACACCACACUAGAACUGCCCCAGACUAGCAGCUACGUCCAUCGGACCACUCUAGCCAACACAUACACACGGUGCGUUGGUUUGUGGGGAUUCAGAUCAGACCAUACUUUUGCUAACUCGUGACUGACCCUAUUUUGAGUGCGACGAAUCUUUACGAGCUUUAUCCUUUUUCAUGAGUGAAUCCACUUGCCUCCUGGCUUCUGGAACAAGGACGCAUUGCAUUGUGCGUCGUCAUGUCCCUCUCCAACAAUGCAGCAGAGAUGAGAUCAUUGUCAACGCCAUGGAGCAACCUGAACAGCAGAGACUUGCUCUGCUUCUUUGAUGGUCAGACAUUCUGAUAGUGUGGCGAAAUGAACAUGUGAUGUGCGGGUUAGUGGCGAAAGAAAAGUAGGAGUCCGUGGCGCCUGAAGUGUUCGGCCGGCCGGCCGGCUCUGCCUCCCUGAAACGAGUUUCAAAAGGAGGAAGGGGUCCUUCAGAAUUUGGUCGCGCCUGAAGAAGUGUUCGGCCAGCCGGCCGGCUCCGUCUCCCUGAAGUGCCCACAUCGGCACUGCUCUUUUUUUUCGAGGGAGACAUCGGCACUGCUAAUGUCCAAUAGUGAUAGGUCGUUAGUGUUACUAAUACAGCAGUAAAAGAUGUACAGCUGAUGCACGUAUUUGCUUUUUUAUGAUUUUUUUUUUUGUAAAAUGCAGAGAUACAUAUAAGCCAUAACCUCAAGUACACAUUGUAGCAUGUGCAUUUGCUUUAUGAUAAAAAUGUACUACAAAACAAUCAUGAAAAACUACCCUACAUUGGUUUUGGCUAGCAAACUUCGCAAAUUCAUCUUUUUUCCGAAACGGAGGAUAACCCCCGCCUUUGCAUGCGCUGAACGAUGCAUACAACCAUGUUUAUUAAAUUAUUCAACAUGGACUGACAAUAUAAAUACAAGGAUCAAUACAAAGCCAUCUUUCUGGUGACCUAUGUCGCUACACUUACAUGCUUGACGAUGUGCCUUGACCGCAUCAAUGCACACCAUCUAAUCCGGUGGCUUCACAAAGUUGCCGUUGGUGCGAGCCGAGAGCACCAACCGAUCUAGCAGACCCACAACGUGCACCGCAUGCGCGCGCUCUAGGAUCGUGCGCCGUCGUCUCUUUUUGAAUUCAUGACUAGCCCUAUUUUGAGUGCGAUGAGCCUUGAGGAAUCAGUAGCUUUAUCUCUUUUUGCAGAGCCGCUCGACUCUUGGCUUCUAGAACAAGCACGGAGUGCCUCGUCAAUCGUCCUGUCCUUCUCCGGAUCAGAUAUCAUUGUCAACACCAUGGCCCAUGGAACAUUUCUCACAUCAAGGAUCACCGGUGAAGUCGUCUACUGAUCAGUGCUCCCACACGUGUGGAAAGCUCGACCUGUAAGAGGAACAUGUCAUGUGCAGAGUAAGUGGACACAGAGGGGAUGAUUAAAGGUGUAAGUGGAACGACUUGCGAAAGGAAGAGAAAAUUCUUCAGAAUUCGGUGGUGCCUGAAGUAUUCGGCCGGCCGGCCGGCUCCGCUGUCCUAAAAGGCGCACGUAAUAAGCCGUGCUAAUGUCUGGUAGUGAUGAGCCGUUAGUAUUUGAUUUGAAGGCCAUGCAGCACUCGUUGUAGUGCAUAUUUUUUCGAUAAAGAACAUUUCAUUCAAUUGAUAUAUCGAGGCGAUACAACCAUAUUGAAGAAUGCCCGGCCUCUGCAUAGCGCGAUGCACACAGCCAACAUGUCCAACAAGCCUAAAAAUAAAUAUCGUUUUGCAGCAAAAGUAAAUCGGUCCAGCCUAGGGUGGGGCAACUCCUAUCUGGAGAUUACACCGCCAUCCAUGUUGGGAGAAAACCUCCCUGGUUGUAUGCUCCAGCCGUGUAGACGCCAUCAUAAAAAUGUCUCUGUCCUCCGGCCUCUGCAUGAUAGACCAUGUACGGAGCCAUCGCGUACACACAUGGAUAACCUGCACAGGAGAUGAAACACAUUUAUUAUUAAAAAUCACAUCAUUUCUGGUAAGCCACAGUGCCCAACAUAAGGCAGCCGCUCCCACGAGUAGAUGUGCAGAAAAUUGUUUAUCGAUACCCGCAACCAAUUGCCGAACAUGUUACGCGCACAACGUGGGGGAUAUAGAUUUGAAGCUACUUGAACUAUGGCCCAGACUACAUGAGUAAACUUACACUCAAAAAAUAAGUGUUUGAUGGACUCGUCAUGUUGGCAAAAGACACAUGUCUUGCUACCUUACCAGUGGCGUCGUGCCAAGUUAUCUCUAGUUAAGAUGAUCCCUUUGUUUAGAAACCAGAGAAAUAUCUUCACUCUUAGGGGAAUUCUGAGCUUCCACAAUUUCUUGUUAUCACCGGUACAUCAGUGUGGGUCAUUGCAUCAUACAAGGAUUUGACUGAAAAGGUAUCAUUCUGAUGCAAAUUUCAUCGGAACUUGUCUGGUUCGCCUGACAGCUAAAUGGCCUCCGGACGAUUGAGUAAUUCAUUCCAUGCUACCAGACGAGGCCCAAUAAGGUCCAUAAGGAAAGAAAUAUCAGGGUUUUCUUGUCCCAAUGCUUGUUUGAUCGACGGUCCUAUACAAGCUAGGGUAUUGCACCAUAAGUGGAGUGGCCCCAGCCAGGUGUCUUCCCAGAAUCGAACCUGAGAACCAUCCCUAACCGAGAAAGUACCAAAUUGAAAAAAGAAUUCCUUGGCCUUCAUCACGCCACUCCAAAAAUGUGAAUCACCGGGUUUCCAAUUAACCUGAGAAAUGGCUUUAGACCCCACAUACUUGUUAGGAAUGAUUUUCUGCCAUACUCCAUUCUCAGUGAGUAGUUUGUAUACCCAUUUACUCAAGAGAGCGAUGUUUUUAAUCUCAAGAUCCUGAAUUCCAAGGCCCCCUUGACUUUUAGGUCGGCAUAAUAUACUCCACCUAGCCAGCCGAUAUUUCUUGGAUUCAUUAUCACACUGCCAAAAAAAUCUGGAUCUAAAAUAAUCGAGACACUGUAGAACCCCUUUAGGUAAGUGGAAGAAUGACAACAUGUAUAGAACCAUGUUGCUGAGGACGAAAUUAAUCAGAAUCAACCGUCCCCCAUACGACAAGAGUUUGGCCUUCCAGCUGGCUAGGCGUUUCUCAAGUCUUUCUUCCACGUGCUUCCACUCAGCGAUAGUUAAAUGCUGAUAGUGAAUAGGAAUACCUAGAUACCUAAUCGGGAACUGGCCGAGCUGAUAGCCGAAAAUCCCAGCAUACUCAGAUGCGUACUCUGCAGCAUCGCCGAAGCAGAAAAGCUCGCUCUUAUGGAAGUUAAUUUUGAGACCAGAGAGCUCCUCAAAUGCACAUAAAAGUAAUUUGAGGUUUCUAGCUUUAUCUAGGUCAUGAUCUAGAAAAAGUAUAGUGUCAUCCGCAUAUUGUAGAAUAGACAGUUCUUCUUCUACCAGAUGAGGGAUCACGCCACUAAAUUGGCCGGCCACCUUAGCCCGCUCAACAAGGGUAGCUAACAUAUCAGCUACAAUGUUGAACAAAAUAUGGGAAGCAGGGUCCCCUUGGCGAAGCCCCUUCCUAGUCUGAAAGUAGUUGCCAACAUCAUCGUUGAUUUUGAUAGCCACACUACCUCCAGAAACAAAACUCUCUACCCAUCGACACCAUUUUGGUGAAAACCCCUUCACGCGCAAAGUUUGCAAAAGAAAGGGCCAUUUGACUUUGUCAUAUGCUUUUUCGAAGUUUAUUUUGAAGAUGACUCCAUUCAACUUUUUACGGUGGAGCUCAUGCACAGUUUCAUGCAGCACAACAACUCCAUCUAGUAUGUUGCGUCCUUGCAUAAACGCUGUUUGAGUGGGUUUGACCACGUGGUCAGCCACCCCGUUCAACCUAUUAGUUGCCACCUUUGUGAAUAUCUUAAAGCUGACAUUUAGAAGGCAAAUCGGUCUAUAUUGUUGAAUACGACUAGCCUCCUUAGUCUUGGGCAGAAGAAUAAUUUCCCCAAAGUUUAAACGGGCAAUAUCAAGGUUUUCAGCAUGCAGUUGGUUAAACAACUGAACCAAAUCCCCCUUAAUUAUAUCCCAAAAACAUUGAUAAAACUCUGUCGGAAAACCAUCUGGUCCCGGAGCCUUGUUGUGUUCCAUUUGAAACACCGCGGCUCGAACUUCCUCUUCAGAGAACGGAGAGGUUAAAAACUCAUUUUCUGCCUCUGAAACUUGAGGUAUAUCAUGAGUAAUAGACUCGUCGAGCGCAAAAGGGCUUUGAGGUGAAGGUCCAGAAAGCUCUUUGUAGUACUUAGUAAUGAAAUUUUUUAGCGGUGCAUUCCCCUCUAUACGGUCUUCGUCUUGGUCAAGAGCGAAAAUACGUUUCUUUCUAUGUCUGCCAUUGGCCAGUAUUUGAAAGUACUUCAUAUUAUCAUCAGCUUGAACAAGCAAGUCGGGGUAACACACCCACACUUUCUUAACCAGGUCAUGGAAUCCCUCUCUAGUGAGCCAUCCCAGUUCAAAUUUAAACUGUGGACGGUUAGAGCUUGGAGUUGUUUGUCCAAAAUCAGUUAGCAAAGGAGCAUGAUCCGAUAGUGCCUCGAUUCUUUCUAGUGCGUGUACCGAUGCAAGGGGAUAUUUAUAUUCCCAGUCGAUGGUCACUAGCACCCGGUCAAGUUUUUCAUAAGUAGGGAUUGAUCGGGCCCAGGCGUACUGACGACCAGACAAAGUGAGCUCCCGCAGGUCUAGGCUGUCAAUAAAGAGCAUUGAAGAGGAAAGGCCAACCUAGUGUCAAACUGGUCAUUGUUUUUUUCCUGUUGAUAUCUAAGGAUAUUAAAAUCCCCCCGGUUAACAUGGGAUGGGGAUUGUCCCGACAGGUAUUAACAAGCUCUUUAAGUAGAGCGGACUUAAACUCCUCUUGAGCAGCGCCAUAUACAGCCACUAGACUCCAAACAAAGUUGUCGGACUUGUUUUGAAGGUGAAAUUUGAUGUGAUAUUCACCCUUCGAAGUGGAUAAAAGUUCCAAGCAUGUCGAGUGGACGCCAAGCAAGAUUCCACCAGACCCCGGAUGGGGGUAAAACGUGCCAUUCAUAAUCAUAACCACAUAAAAAGUGGUGAAGAACACGUGUCUGGAAAUCACGUUUACCUGACUCAGUGAUGGCCACAAAGUCCAAGGCACGAUCCUUUACAUAAUCGGCAAUGUGUUUGUGUUUAGCCAAGUCAGCAAGACCUCUACUAUUCCAAAACACACCUCUCAUGAUGAACCAUUUUUAUGUUUAGGUACCUUUGCCCUCUGGCAUCCUCUUUUCUUCUCUGAAGUAGACUUGUUUUUUCGUACCGACGCGACAAGCUCACAUAGCAUGUUGUCGUGUACAGUAUCCUUCAAGUCUAUUUUGGUUGUGUCUUUAACUAGAUGGGAGAGAAGCUUGCCAUCAUGAUCGGCAUCAGCAUCCACAUCCUCCUCAUCCGACACGAGAAGAUCAAAAAAAGUAGGCAACCUAGGAGCAACCUUAAGCCGGUCGAACUCCAUUUGUUUAAGGGCCCUAACAGAAACUCUCUUUCUCAUUAUGUCCUAACAAACACCCAAGCUAGCAAUAUUUGCAGAAACUCUAGAGUUAUCGAAGGACAAAAAAGAUUUGUGGAAGGAAGUACCUUCAUAGUCGAGGUUGCGAGCUGUCGUCCUAGUGCAUAUACAUUGGAGAAAAUAAUGUGGCAUCGUUGUCUGAUGCUUCUUAGCUUGCUCUGUCUGGAUUGGGCGUGGUUUCAAGAGCCAGCACCAUAGCUCCAGAUGGCACACCGGCCGCAACGUUGCGAGCACAUCGGAGCAUCAGGAUUGGUUAAGGCCGGCGGAGGCAGUGGUUACGGACACCAUCUAGGGAACCAGCGUACGUACAAAAUUUGUAGAGAAAAAUCAAUUAUGCAAUGAGUGGGCCGGCCUGCUCAGAACCGAUGCAGGCGAGCGAUACCUAUUGCUCAUUAUGGGCGAUGUUUAUUUAACAAUUGUGCGUGUUUCUGGACUACGCCUCAUCCAGUACGAGGGAUGACUGCAGGCUUACAGCUGCUAGUUUUGCGAAUGCGUGCUUCUAGAUUCGAGCACACGUGCACAUGGUAUGGACAGUGAAAUAGAAAAAAAAAUCUUUUUACAACAAUAUUGCUUAGUUUUCUGUCUAUGCCAUUUUUUGGUGAUUAAUUGGCAUUCAUGGAUCUGUGAGAGAAAAAAAAUCAGUAUUUUAAAAUGCUUUCAAAAACAAUAUUUUUGAAGCACCAAUUUUGGUUUUUGUCAUUCAAUAAUGUAAUUUUGCAUGCAUGUGAAACAGUCCUCAAUGUUUAUCUAAAAAUUGUUCAGAUUUUCAAUUUUUUACUAUUUUUUUAUUUUAUUGUUCAUCAUGCACAUGGGAUUAUCAGAAAUUCCAUGUCCAUGGUGUAGUUUUGGAACUUUAGACCUUUGCCGAUCGACAUUUUAGCAUGCCUUGGGCCUUCUGUUUCUUCUUUGUCGAAGGCAAGUGUGAAUUCGCUCUCAGGAGCUCCUAUUGGACGCUCGACGGUUCCACGCUCAGGAGGCAGCCCCACUGGGUUGCCCCAUUGUUGCACGCGGAAAUAGGGUAAAGUUCGCGCUAGUGGUUUUGGAACUUUAGACCGGGAGCACCUAUACGGCGACUCGCGCACUGGGAAAGAAGGCAGCACCCGCCCCCUGGCUUCCACGCGCGACCUUGGGCCAGCCCAGAUGCGUGACAGGGCUCCCCUAUUAUUUUUUGCUUCUUUAAGAAAGUUCGGCAUUUGAAAAAAAUUUAGAACUUAAAAUAAUGUUCACUAAUGCAAAAAAAUUCAUGGAUUCAAAAAUAUUCACAAUUUUAUAAAAGAAUUUUUUUUAUUUUUUAUGGACAUUUUUUCUAUUUUAAUCAACAAAAUUUGAAGUUUGGAUCAACAUUGUUUGAAUUUUGAUGUAAAAAAUUUGAAUUUUGGGUGAACAUUUUAUGAAUUUCAAUGAACAUUUUUCUGAAACUAUUGAACAAAUAUUAUAAUAAAUGAACUUUUUAAAAAUUGAUGAACAAAGUUUGAAUUCGACAAACCUUUUUUUAAUAUGGUGAUAGUUUAAAAAUUCAUGAACAUUUUAAAAUUUUGAUGAACAUUUUUUAAUUUUUAUGACCAAAUUUUGAAUUCAGUGAACAAAAAUUGAAUUCCAAAAAUGUUCACUGAUUUGAAAAUAUGUUUGAAUUUCAUAACAUAUUCACUGAGAGAAAAUAUGUUUUUUUUUGGAAAGAAAAAACGAAAAAUAAAAAACCAAGAAAAAGGAAAAGAAAAAAAGAAAAGAAAACCGAAAAUUAAAAGAGAAAGAUAAGACAAGAAGAAAAAAAAUCAUGUUUGCGAAAGUUCUAGAACUAGAACCUUCCCAAAACCGGAAACGGCCGCCUACACAUCGUGAAGCGGCGGUGCGCGCGCGGUCGCUGGGAUAUUGACCCGUGCGAUCUGCCCUUUAGACCUAUGCUGAUUGGCGAAUAGGAAAAUUCCUUCAAAAAGUCAGUUUGAGCAGUAGCGUUACCUAUCGGCAAGGAUCUCGUCUUUAAGAUCCGAGCCAAGCACAACUAUUUUUCCAACCUUUCUACUAUACAAAAUUGAAUACUAGACCUAAUACAUCUAUAGAUCCCAACAUAGAAUGGCAGCAUUGUCAGCGCCCACUCUCUCUCUCUCUCUCUCUCUCUCUCUCUCUCUCUCUCUCUUACACAUCAAUCCACCAUUUUAUUUCACCUUGACUAAACUAAAUAAUUUAUACCAUUUGAAAUACAAGUUCAUUUUUGAAAUAAUUUAUAUAUUUGAACUCCUAGCACCAAGACCUUUAGAACGAAACCAAUAUUGGAUACAUUUCAAGCACGUUUAAUUUUCAACAUUUCACAUUUCAUAUAUUGAACAAACCUAUUUCACUAGAAAAAAAAUUGUGAAACAAACUUUUUCAGUAGAAAUAUGUGAAACAAACCCAUUUCACUAGAAAUCUAUUUAACCCAAUUAUAUUUCAAAUACGUGAAACAAACAUUUUCCACACAAACUAAAAAUGUGCAAUUGAAAUAUAUGUGAUUUUAUGAAACCGACUGUUUUACAAAUGUGUAACAAUUUAUUUCAAAAGAGUGAAAUAUGUUAUUUCAAAAAUGUGUAAUUGAAAUAUAUGUGAUUUUUGUGAAAUAAGUUAGUGGAAAGUGAAGUGUAGGUUCUGAAUUGUGAAAUAGUUACUACAGAAAGUGAAAUUUAAAUGCAUCAUUGUGAAACUGAUUAUUUGGAAAUGUGCAACAGUUUAUUUCAAAAGAGUGAAAUAUCUUACUUAAAAAAUGUGCAUUAAAAAGGAUGUAUUUUUUGUGAAACAAGCCAGUGAAAAGUGAAAUAUAGGUUCUGAAUAGUGAAAGAGUAACUACAGAAAGUGAAAUUAUAAUGUAUCAUUGUGAAAUUGAUUAUUUCAAAAUGUGAAACAUGCGCUUGAAUUUAAACAUGGUUGAAAAAUAUCCAAGAUUGAUCUCAUUUUAAGGUUUUAAUGCAAGGAGUUCAAAUGUGAAAAAAGUUUCAAAAACUAAUACAUGGUUUAAAAGAUAUGGAUGCUUGAAAUUAGAUAAAGUGAAAGAAAUGAUUGAAUUUAUUGUGUGGGAGAAGAGAGAGAGUGCUCUGCCACAUUGCUGCCAAUAUUCUUUAAACAUGGGAAAAAAUAUAUAACAAAGAAAGAGAAUAUAUGCAGUUAAAUGGCACUAGCUGAUUGGCUAGAGCGUUGCCGGUACCGGUAGUAACCGCGCAAUUUUUCAGUUUAGAAAUUCCUUCGCUUUCUUCUGUUACCGCCAACCGUUCUGGGCCUGGCCCAGCUGAAACCUCGACCGAAAAGGUUCGAUACGAUCUCGACCCGGGUUUCGCCUCUGGCUUUAUAUAGAUAGACACGACUCACCGCCAUCGGUAUCUUACAACAAUUCCCGAAUCCAUCGCACGACCACAGUCGAUCGUCGGCAAAGAGGGAUCCACCAGGCGCUGGCGACGCGCAGCCGAGCCGAACGGCCGGGAGGGUGAUUUUUCGCCUCGGCGGUGCACGAUCGGCCAGGAGGGCAUUUUUUCGCGGGGUGGGUGCACCACCACCAAACCAAACCCAUGUCGGCGGCGGCGGCGGCCACCGGCGAGGAGAUUCCACCGAAGGGCAAAAGGAAGCUGGCGGCGAUCGAGGAGAAGCCGCGCCGGCAUUGGGCGGACCCGCUCCCGAAGCCCGGUACCACGACUGAAGAUGCAGAGCUGCGGAGGAGGAUCAAGACGGCGCUUCUGGGCUUCCCGGGGUCUGGAGCGUUGAGCGCAGCCGAGUUGGAGCUAUCGAUUGAUAGAAUCAUGAAGGAGUCCAAGCCCGAGACCAGGUCUGUGGCCGCCCCAGGCAUGGUCCGGUUCUCGAAUGAAGAGAUCCGUAUCUGGUUGUCCAUGAUGAAGACCCCCACCGUCGAUGAUAUCCUCGGCGUUGAAGCUGGCGGGGUGUUCCCGCCGGGUUGGAUCCACCAGAGAGCUAUAUUAUUGGAUAAGCAAUGCCAACGAAAGACGGAGGGUGGCGAAAUAAUCUUGGUGGACAAGAUCCGCAUCGAUUUGAUCACAAAGGGCUACGUUGAGUUCCGGGAGGAGUACAUGAGCCCUGACUCGGACGCGGACGAUGAAUGCUACGAAUCUGAGGAGGAAGUGACUUCUGUCCUCCGGAAGGAAUAAAUGAAAAGAUGUUGUGCGGUACUGCCGUUGUUCUGAGAAGAUUUGGCUCGAUGAAUCCAACCAAGGGGAACCGCUUUGUCAACCCUAACUUAUAUAGAUAUAAUUACAGUUUUGCUAGAGCAUAUCUAGAUGUGCCAUAAAUAUUGCACAUCUAAGAGCAUCUCCAGCCGCGCCCCCAACAGACCCUCCCCAGGCGUUUUUGCCGCGCCGGCGCCGAAAAAACGGCCCAGUCGCCCCCCGAGAAGCCCGUUUUUCGCCGGCUCGGGCCGAAUCUGGUGCCGGCGGACCCAGGCAGAACCCGGCGCCCUGGGGGGCCUGGGGCGCCGGCACAAGCGAAAAGGCGCGCGUGGGUCCGCCCUAUCGGCGAGUCGAGCGCCUCUUUCCGCCGUUUCUCCCCGCUUUUCCCCAGUCCCCUCUCAUUUUCUCCUUUCCUCCCGCCAUUCUCUCUCCCGCUCGCCUCCCAGCCGGCCGCCAUGGCACCGAAGAAGUACGCCGUCCCCUGCGCCGGGGCAACCGCGACCGCCUCCGUCGCCCAGCCGAAGCAGAGGAAGCCGAGGGCGCCGCCGUCCAAGCCGCCGGGCAUGACAAACGCUGAUUGGAGGGUAGAAGUACAGCGACGGGAGGCCGUCACCGCCGACCGGCGGAACAGGGCCCUCGCCAAGAAGGCCCGUGACAACGCGGCACGCGCGGCUGCGGGUGCCGCUGCCGCUGCCGCUUCCGCGGACCAGGCCGAGGCCGAGGCGGCACGCGCGGGGAUGAUGAAUCUCCCCGGCAACCACGCGCCGUACGCGCCCUGGGGCCAGCAAGGUGUCGGGUCUCCGACGCCGCAGCCAUGGGGAUCGCCGGGCUACGCCGACGGGGACGUGCACGGUGGGUUCAACCCAAAUGUCACGUUCCCCCAUGGACACCCGGCCCAGCGCACGCCCUCGCCCGCCUUCACCGGCGUGCAGUACCCUCCAUACAACUACUCGCCGCCCGCGUACGCGUCCUCCCCGACGCCCCCUCUCCGCCGUUGCGCACUGCCCUUCUCGCACCUCGGCGACGCCGACGAGACCGAGACCGACAUGGAUGACAUCAUCGCGGAAGGAUCGGCCGCGGCCGCCGCGUCUCCCGGGUUCACCGCGGAUGAAGCGGUGGAUCUCAGCGGCGGCAUGGACGGCGAGCUCGGCUACGUCUACGGCGACGAGGAGCAGGAGGAAGAGGACGAGGAGGAGCCGGCGAGGAGGCGCAAGAAGAAGAAGCGGACGGCCAGGUCAGCCGAGCCGCGCAUCAAGUGGGCGUCCAAGGAGGAGGAAUGCCUCGCCGAGGCAUGGAAAGUCGUCUGCCUCGACCCGACCACCGGCGCGAACCAGAGCAUCGACACGUACUGGGCGCGCAUCAAGGCCGAGUUCGACGAGCGCAAACUCGUCGACCCCUACUUCAAAGGCGUCUACAUGCAGCGCGGGUCGAAGGCGAUGGCGAACCAUUGGGGGCGCAUCCAGGGGGCGUGCAACAAAUGACAUGGUGUCGUCGAGGAGGUGGCCGCUCGCCCGGAGAGCGGCGCCAGCAUUGAGGAUCAGGUAUGCCACGCGGUCUCCCGUCUCUCUUCGCCGUGUGCGCCCGCCAACUGUUUGUUCGUCCCCGCGCAGUUGCUGCGCAUGUUCGGCCUGUAUAGGCAGAGCAACAACGACGCCGAGUUCAAGUACCUCCACGUUUACAAGCGCAUUGACAAAUGCGACAAGUGGGCGGAAGUCCGGCGCACCCUCGAGAAGGCCAAGGAGACAUACAAGCCGGACGCGCCGGCUCCGGGCGCGUCAGAAGGGCGGCCGGACGGCAACAAAGGUGCCAAGAAGGGGAAACACGCCGACGCGGCCACCGCUCGCGUGCAGGAAUCCAUCCAGCACUGCCUCGCCGACGCACAGGCCCGGGCCGUCCUUCAUGAAGAAAAUACCGAGGCGCGGUGGUCGGCGUUGACGUCGACAAGCGCCGUCAAGCUUGACCUACUCCGGACCAACGUCGCCGCGAAGAAGAGGAACACCGACCUGGCUUUCCUGCUGGGCGGGGCGGACAUGCUCCAGAGCACCGACGAGGCGGUCAAGGAGUGGUACAGGGCGCAUGUCGGCCUCAUCCUGGACUAGCUUCCCUCGACGACGCCGCCCACGCCCACGCCCACGACGACGCCGCCCACGCCCACGCGCACGCCGAUGCCGCCAACAAGCCCGACCGAUGAUGCCGCCGGGACUGCCCGCAGCGCAGAAGCCACGCCGCCAAGCAUAGAGACCCCGUCAAGCCCGCGCACGCCGACUCCGCCGACGCCGGAGGCCGACCUCGCCGUCUGAUGCGCGUUUCUGUUCUGAUUUUUGUACGCCGAACUUUUCAUCGAUCGCCGAUCAUCGCUUGAUCGCCGNNNNNNNNNNNNNNNNNNNNNNNNNNNNNNNNNNNNNNNNNNNNNNNNNNNNNNNNNNNNNNNNNNNNNNNNNNNNNNNNNNNNNNNNNNNNNNNNNNNNNNNNNNNNNNNNNNNNNNNNNNNNNNNNNNNNNNNNNNNNNNNNNNNNNNNNNNNNNNNNNNNNNNNNNNNNNNNNNNNNNNNNNNNNNNNNNNNNNNNNNNNNNNNNNNNNNNNNNNNNNNNNNNNNNNNNNNNNNNNNNNNNNNNNNNNNNNNNNNNNNNNNNNNNNNNNNNNNNNNNNNNNNNNNNNNNNNNNNNNNNNNNNNNNNNNNUGGGAGCUAGGCCGCCCCCCAGGGCCGAACUAGCGCCGGCUCGCCCCCAGGGCGCAGUUUUUCGGCGCCCUUGGGGGCCGAACGGCUGGAGAUGCUCUAAGUCCUAUAUCAUUGAUCUUACGCGAAGAUUCGUGUGGAUUUUUUUUCUAUGCUUGCUUGUGUCACUUAGAUGUGCAAUAACUAAGGCACAUCUAGAUGUGCCCUAGACAAACCCCACUCCCCCGUUUCUAAAUACUAGUAAGUGUGCACGUGCAAUGCAAUUCAAACCAUGGGAAUAAAACUUAGUGGGAUAUUUAAGUGAUGAGUUCAUAGUUCAAACGUGGGCAAGGGUUAUGUGGGUGUCAGGUUUGGCAAAAUAGUGUUUAAAAAAUGGUUUGGCAAAGCAGGAAGUGAUAUAUCCUAGUCUAUUAUAACGGUCAGGAAAAAUAAGAAACCAAUGAAAAAAGAACUUCAUAUUAAUAGGUAUUUCAUUAAUAUACAUAAUAUAGAUUACAUCAACCAUAGAGUUAUGAAUUUACAUUUCAUAUGAUACGUUUCCAUAGAAUUUACAUAUACAUGAAUAAAAGGUCGAAAAAAACAGAGGUGCAUCAUGUCAAAAACACAAGUGCUCGUCAUCGUUGCCUUGCUCUGCAACAAAUAAUAGUAAACAAAAUGAAAAACACCAUUCCGAUAUUUGAUUUUGAAACAGUGGGCAUAGGUACCUGUUCAUUCAGAAGAAUAUGAUACAAUUUAUUGCCUUGAUUGAUCACCUCAAUUUCUUAUUUCAACCUCCCUGUUAUAGUGAUGAUGUUCCUUGUACUUACCAUGUGACUGCUCAAUGCUUCUAAAAUCCCAACACAAUGAAGAGAAUGAAACCAAAAGCUAUGGACAAAAAGAAGUAGAGAACAAAUAUGUACGGUACUUCUUAAUAAGACAACAAAAUUUAUGAGGCCAGGUUUUAGAAAACAUUUUGAGAUAGAAUAUCAUUUUGGCAACCUUGUUCAUAUGUUUAGUACAGAGUAUGUACCUGAAACAGAUUGCCUUUCACCACACCUUUUUUCUCCAUCGAUGUGCUUCUCUGUAAAUGAAAGCCUCUGGACAAAACAGCACCCAUAUUUGAGAAGCAUGGAGGAUAGUUUCUGUAGAAAACACAAAAGGGGCAAUCUUAUUAUCACGGUUUCUAUUCGGAGUAUUGUGAUCAGUUAAAAUAACCAAUAGCAAAGCCUUUGUAGCGUACUACAGUAAGAAAAAACGUGGGGGCCAGGCCACGAGCUGGGAGAUGACAUUUGCGGGAGGCAAUGGAAAGCUCCAAGAUGAUCGCUUGCAGGAGGGCUGAAUCACAGCACUAAAACACUCCUUAGAUGAAUUACAUAUUAGAAGCAUUUUUAGAUAACAAAAGAACCCCUGUGGUUCUCUAGGAAUUUGGAACAUCAGCUUAUUAAUACCAAUUCGGCAACUACAAUCAGUUUAUUCUCUUGAAAUAUCCUCCCCUGUGGUUGGCUCAUACUGCCCAGCCAUAUUUUUAGAAAAUGAUGCUAAGUUCUGAAAUUAGCUACCACAUCUGGAAAUGCCAUCUUAUGGACUCUUGGAGUACAAUCCAAUUUCAAAUUAACCAACAACAGCUUAGGCAUUGAGUGACCAAUAACAAUUCGUGCAAGUAUUUUUAUAUUUCAUCAUAACAAUGACAGUGGAAAAGGUUCAGUUAAACAACUCUAGAGAUUUAUUUUUCUGCAAGGAAACAACUCACCUCUCCAAGAAGCAACCAUGUCGCCUCCUUGAAGUCCUCGAACUGCAGCCUCCACUUUGCCCAUAGAAGGAGCAGCAGCAGCAGCAGCGCCGUCUCGAAGACUUUUUUUUGGAAACUCGUCCCGAGCAUAAUCUAUAGUUUCACUCCUGCCCACACAUAGACUGACAUGCUCAACACACGUUAGUCUUGCUAAUCUACAGUUUCUGGCAAACGUGCGUUGAAUGAGUUUUCCGUACACUCGAAGAAAGCACUGAAAUUUCCAUGACUGGAUCACUAUCAUCUAAGGAGCAGGUUGCAAACUCGGUAGGACUGAAAAUAUCGUCCCCAGUCGAUAAUGUGAAUAGUUGACUGGAAAACCUGUACUGGACACGUGACAUGGUCUGAUGAGCAUUGCAAAUUUAAAGACAUUCUAGAAUAAUUGUAGCGGUGUCGAGAAGUGCCUAGUGCUCAUGAAUAGAACCCCAAACAUGAAGUAUAAAUAUCAAUAAUUUAGCAGAUAAAUUUAAGACAUAGAUGCUCCGAGUUUCUUCAUUUGUGAGAAAAAUGAUAUUGCAAGGUAGAUCAUUUUAUUGUACAGUAAGCUCUCGAAAAGCACCUAAAUUUCAGUGUACAAUCCGAAUUGCUAAGAAUACCUAUAAAAGUAUAGGCAUGGAGUGUUCAGAAUUGACAAGUGACACAGAUAAGAGUAAAUCAACGAAAUGGAAUGAUUAUCAUGCUGAACUUACCUGGAUUUCAUCAAAAAUGUUUCCCAAGGAUACCAGGACCCAGCUCAACUGAAAGGGGCUGCAUGUGCAUAUAUAGUAUACGUGUUAGAAGAGCAAACCGUAUCUGAAGGGAAGAAUAAAAAUUGUAAAAAUCGGAAUUGGAAAAUUCACAUUAAUAGUUUUGAUAGGUCACCACCGCAUAUUAUUGUUAUAUUCACACCAUUUGUUGUUUGUUCACUAUCAAAUAAGCUAAAUCUGACCAAAGGUAUUGAUCUGAUAGGAAAAAAGAGCCAGAUCUGCAAUGCUACAUGGCUAACAAGAUUAAGCUUAGAAUUGUGACUGUACAAUGCAAAUAACUUGAUAGAACUGUGCAAAACGACAUCCUAAUUCUAAAAUUUGUAACACUGCUUUUCCUUCUAGCAACUAAAAUCAACCAUGCGUAUUUAUUCAACCAUGAUAAACUUUCAGUCCUAAACAACAUUAUCCAUGCUGAAUCUGAAUCACAAACAUUGCAUGCAGAAAUUGACAGCACUACUCGAGUUCUCUUGCUUUCCUGAAUUUGACAGUACCUGAACAAAGCAAGCCGCACGCACAGCCUGCUGGCAGCCGCAGGCACGCACCUCACACACGCCGGCCAGCUGCGCGAUCCUCUGGCGGACAACACUCAUGCACAACACGCCGACAUCAUCACGCACGUAGCAGCGGAGCCCCAAAUCCGCCAGCCGCCGAGCGACCUAGCUGGCUCCGGCCCUGCACGCCCUAGUUGGCCCCGUUGUUGAGCGCCCUAGUUGUGGCCGCCGCACAGCACUGCGCUGCAACCACAAUGCGAACGCCUAGGCUGCCGCACGCCUCUUCUAGCCGGUCGUCGACGCACUGCCUGCCGCGCGCGGCAUUGCGCUGCCACCACAACGCGAACGCCCAGGCUGCCGCACGCAUCCUAUAGCCGCCCGUCAACGCACUGGCUGCCGCAUGCGCUAGAUGUCACCGCCGAGGCGCCGGGGAGGAGUGAAUGCAUUUGUGACCUGCCUCGAUCUGGUGCGCCCUCCGCUCAUCCUCGAACUCCCUCUUCGCCGCGCGCCAUGGCCAGCGGUCUAUCCCCGAGACCCCGACAAGCCGUCGCAUCCGAGAGAACCUCCACGCCCUCUUGAUCCUCCACGCCGAACGAAUCAAGUUGCGACGCCCUGCACAGAGCACACGGACGUCGUCUUCUCCGACACCAUCCGUAAGCCGCCGUCGUCGAUUCAUCGUGCUCCUCCUUCUCUGGUCUUGCCGACAGCACGAACCUCCUCAUGGUUAUCCCUGCCUCCUUUCCCCUCUCUCUUAGUCCUCGUCCUCGACAUCAACAUGUAGCCGCUGCCCCGCAAGCUCCGUCUCUGUUUGCCGCCAUGGCCGACGAACUCGGUUAUGUCAAGCCUCCCCUGGCCCGACGUGUUCCAGGGGCUACGUAGACACCGCCUAGAUGGCUAGCCGCUCCAUGAGCCAGCUCCCGACUCGUAUCGACGCCUACUCCCCAUGUCUGAUAGAGCUAUCAGGCGAGACCGCAGAGGAGCGGCAGACGAUUAUCUAUGAUACACGGCCGGCGGCUAGAGGUGUGUGGCGACGUCAUGUAGCGGCGCGGCAGCGAGGAUGGCAUGCGCCUGGUGGGGCCGCGACAGCGUCGGGUUGGGCGGCGUUCGCGAGAGGUGCCGGCUACGGGCGCGUGGUACUUCCUUUUUCUCGGGGAGAAGGAGGUGGGGAGCAUGCCCAUAAUUUUAGAAGUGACACGACGCCGGAUAACAGAGUUUUCGUCCGCUCGAAAAAAAUGCUAAACACACUAUGAACGUGGAUUGAUGGAAUAUUAACUCUUAGAUCAAAUUAAGUGAUUAGAUCGAGAGGCCGCAAUUCCUCCAUGUUGUUAUGUGUAGAUUAGGCUGGGUGCACUUAGUGAUGAAUAUGUUUGCUUGUUUAAUAGUAGUAUAGAAACCUCCUCAUGGUUAUCCCUGCCUCCUUUCCCCUCUCUCUUAGUCCUCAUCCUCGACAUCAACAUGUAGCCGCUGCCCCGCAAGCUCCGUCUCUGUUUGCCGCCAUGGCCGACGAACUCGGUUAUGUCAAGCCUCCCUUGCCCGUUUCUGUGGCCCGACGUGUUCCAGGGGCUACGUAGACACCGCCUAGACGGCUAGCCGCUCCAUGAGCCAGCUCCCGACUCGUAUCGACGCCUACUCCCCCAUGUCUGACAGAGCUAUCAGGCGAGACCGCAGAGGAGCGGCAGACGAUUAUCUGCGAUACACGGCCGGCGGCUAGAGGUGUGUGGCGACGUCAUGUAGCGGCGGGGCGGCGAGGAUGGCAUGCGCCUGGUGGGGCGGCGACAACGUCGGGUUGGGCGGCGUUCGCGAGAGGUGCGGGCUACGGGCGCGUGGUACUUCCUUUUUCUCGGGGAGAAGGAGGUGGGGAGCAGGCCCGUAAUUUUAGCAGUGACACGGCGUGGGGACGCCGAAUAACAGAGUUUUUGUCCGCCCGAAAAAAUGGUAAACACACUAUGAACCUGGAUUGGUGGAAUAUUAAAUCUUAGAUCAAAUUAAGUGAUUAGAUCGAGAGGCCGCAAUUCCUCCGUGUUGUUAUGUGUAGAUUAGGCUGGGUGCACUUAAUGAUGAAUAUGUUUGCUUGUUUAAUAGUAGUAUAGAAACCUCCUCAUGGUUAUCCCUGCCUCCUUUCCCCUCUCUCUUAGUCCUCAUCCUCGACAUCAACAUGUAGCCGCUACCCCGCAAGCUCCGUCUCUGUUUGCCGCCAUGGCCGACGAACUCGGUUAUGUCAAGCCUCCCCUGCCCGUUGCUGUGGCCCGACGUGUUCUAGGGGCUACGUAGACACCGCCUAGACGGCUAGCCGCUCCAUGAGCCAGCUCCCGACUCAUAUCGACGCCUACUCCCCCAUGUCUGACAGAGCUAUCAGGCGAGACCGCAGAGGAGCGGCAGACGAUUAUCCGCGAUACACGGCCGGCGGCUAGAGGUGUGUGGCGACGUCAUGUAGCGGCGGGGCGGCGAGGAUGGCAUGCGCCGGGUGGGGCGGCGACAACGUCGGGUUGGGCGGCGUUCGCGAGAGGUGCGGGCUACGGGCGCGUGGUACUUCCUUUUUCUCGGGGAGAAGGAGGUGGGGAGCAGGCCCGUAAUUUUAGCAGUGACACGGCGUGGGGACGCCGGAUAACAGAGUUUUUGUCCGCCCGAAAAAAUGCUAAACACACUAUGGACGUGGAUUGGUGGAAUAUUAACUCUUAGAUCAAAUUAAGUGAUCUGAUCGAGAGGCCGCAAUUCCUCCGUGUUGUUAUGUGUAGAUUAGGUGGGUGCACUUAGUGAUGAAUAUGUUUGCUUGUUUAAUAGUAGUAUAGAAACCUCCUCAUGGUUAUCCCUGCCUCCUUUCCCCUCUCUCUUAGUCCUCAUCCUCGACAUCAACAUGUAGCCGCUGCCCCGCAAGCUUCGUCUCUGUUUGCCGCCAUGGCCGACGAACUCGGUUAUGUCAAGCCUCCCCUGCCCGUUGCUGUGGCCCGACGUGUUCUAGGGGCUACGUAGACACCGCCUAGACGGCUAGCCGCUCCAUGAGCCAGCUCCCGACUCGUAUCGACGCCUACUCCCCCAUGUCUGACAGAGCUAUCAGGCGAGACCGCAGAGGAGCGGCAGACGAUUAUCUGCGAUACACGGCCGGCGGCUAGAGGUGUGUGGCGGCGUCAUGUAGCGGCGGGGCGGCGAGGAUGGCAUGCGCCGGGUGGGGCGGCGACAGCGUCGGGUUGGGCGGCGUUCGCGAGAGGUGCGGGCUACGGGCGCGUGGUACUUCCUUUUUCUCGGGGAGAAGGAGGUGGGGAGUAGGCCCGUAAUUUUAGCUGUGACACGGCGUGGGGACGCCGGAUAACAGAGUUUUCGUCCGCCCGAAAAAAUGCUAAACACACUAUGGACGUGGAUUGGUGGAAUAUUAACUCUUAGAUCAAAUUAAGUGAUCUGAUCGAGAGGCCGCAAUUCCUCCGUGUUGUUAUGUGUAGAUUAGGCUGGGUGCACUUAGUGAUGAAUAUGUUUGCUCGUUUAAUAGUAGCAUAGAUAAGUCAUUUUAGAGAUUCUAAUAUAAGUACAAACGGAGCAAAAUAAGUGAAUCUACACUCUAAAAUACCUCUACAUUCAUCUGUAUGUAGUCCAUAUUGAAAUGUCUAAAAAGACUUAUAUUUAGGAACGGAUGAAAUAUAAUACUCCUAUAAACUAUCUCUGCUACUGUUUAUCUAUACAUUUAUGCUGCCUAUGUUGGGAACGUAUCUGGUGCACCGGACCUUGUUGCACAUUCAAAAAUAUAUUAAAAUAUCAAGGAAAAUAAUUAGUGCAUUGACCGAAAUCACUAGUUGAGGAGUACUCAUUACAAAGAUCACUCCCACCUCCCGGGUUGCGACAAGUGGCGCGCUGCAUGUGCGCCACUUGUCACAACCGGGAGUUUUCCUUUUUUCAUAGAUCCGUUUAUUUAAAAUAUUUUAUCUCUUAAACCAUGUGUUCAAAUCUUAAACCGUUUCCACCGUUGGAUUCCAUUCCUCGCGUCGAGAUCUUCAAAAGUAGAUCCCAUGUUGAUAGGUUUUGACGAACUUUUUUUUCACGAAAAAACCGGAUGAAAAAACCGACCCGGGAGCAUGGGUUUUUUCGCUUUCCGAAAGAGGCACACCCGUGCCUCUCGCGAAAGCACAACCGUCCCUCUCGCGGAAGCAAAACCGUGCCUCUCGCAGAAAAAAAAAUAGAAAACACGUUUUUUUCGUUUCCGAGAGGCACGACCGUGACUCUCGCGGAAGCACAACCGUGCCUCUCGUGGAAAGAAAAAACAAAAAUGCGUUUUUUCGUUUCCAAGAGACACGACCGUGACUCUCGCGAAAGCACAACCGUGCCUCUAGCGAAAGCAAAACCGUGCCUCUCGCGGAAGAAAAAAAAUAGAAAACCCAUUUUUUUCUUUUCGAAAGGCACGGCUGUGACUCGCAAAAGCACAACCGUGCCUCCUGCGGAAGCAAAACCGUGCCUCUCAUGGAAGGAAAAAACAGAAAACGCGUUUUUUUCAUUUUCGAAAGGCACGGCCGUGACUCUCGCGAAAGCACAACCAUGCCUCUCGCGGAAGCAAAACCGUGCCUCUCGCGAAAGGAAGAAAAAACAGAAAACGCGUUUUUUUCGUUUCUGAAAGGCACGGCCGUGACUCUCGCGAAAGCACAACCGUGCCUUUCGCGGAAGCAAAACCGAGACUCUCGUGAAAGAAAAAAAAACGCGUUCUUUUUGCGAAACUUUUUUUGAAACUUUUUUUACCCAAAAGCUAAGGAAGACCGGUGGAAAACCAAAACAUCGGAAAAACCCGGAAAAAAACCGUUUAAAAAGUCGAAAACGUGUGCGGAAAAAUAAAAAAAAUCCGGAGGGAGCGCCCAGAGCGGACACAUGGCGGGCGGCUGAGAGCGCGCCAAGUGGCGCUGAUCGUUGCGAGGCUCCCUAUGGAGUGCUGUUAACUAGUUGCUCUCUGCCUUGACACAACAUCAUUAUAUGUUGUCACAAGAAUUCAAAUCAAAAUUCGGAACAUUGCUAGAGAUACAAAAAUGAUAAAUUUGAAAUCAAUGUGUUAAUGGGCCAAAACUGAAGCCCAACUUGUGUUAUGCACUAUUCAUUGUCAAAUUUAUCAUUUUUGUAUCUCGGGCAAUGUUUUAAAUUUUGAUUUGAGUUUUUGUGACAACAUGCAAUGAUGUUGUUUCAAUGCACUAAAUUGUAUCCGGAUUUUUCCUAACAUUUUUAAUAUGCAAUGGGGGACCCGUGCACCAGUAGCACCAAUUGCCCUGGUGCACUAGAUACAUCCUCGCAAAUGUUUGCCACUGAUCCGAAUUCCAAACUAGUACUCCAAAGAAACCAUUUGUUGAAGCUUAUUAGGACAAUGUCCAUGUGUUGUAAUAGAAGAUAAAUGCGAUUGUGUAAAUAAAUGUCUAUCAAAUCUUGCCCGUGAUUUACCUAUAGUUUGAUGAGACGUCAGGUAAGUAAAUUAAAGUGAAACUGAUUCAGAAGGUAAGUAAAAAGAAUUGCAGGAAGAAGGCAAGUAAAUUAAUAUGAUUGAUUAUCAUAUGCAGACACUAGUAGAAAACGACCUUUCGUUCGCAUCAUUAGUCCCGUUUGAUUAUGGCCCGGGACUAAUGUGACCAUUAGUCCCAGUUCCAACGGCUAGGGCACGGGCAUCAUUAGUCCCGGUUCGUUUUGUACCUCUAGUCCCGGUUUGUGACACAAACCGGGACUAAAGGGGUUGUGGCAGGCUGGCGUCAGGCUGGGGCCCCCACGAGCACCUUUAGUCCCGGUUUGUAUCACAAACCAGGACUAGAGGUACACCUUUAGUCCCAGUUUGUAUAACCAAACGGGAAUAAAGAUGCCCCUAUAUAAACCCUUCGUCCAGCCCGAGCCCAUUCUCUCUGUUUUCCCCUUUCCUCUCCUCUGUUCUUCCCCUUGCUCGAGCUCAUCCUCCGUUUUUGCCAAGAUUUGUCAAGAUUUGAAGGCACCCCAUCCAUCCAAGUGUUCACAAAGGUUAGCAACUUUGUCCUUUCAUCUCUCAUUGCUAGAUUAGCUCCUGCAAUGCUCUAUAAGUAUAGUGAUUUGUGGGUUUUAGUUUGGGACUAAUUAUAUGUUGGAGUUUAUUUGAUUUAUGUGCAAUUUGAGCUCAAAUUAACUUCUUAGUUUGCAUAUGUAGGUGUGGUUUACUUAGUGCCUUACCGUCCCCGUCCUAACCACCGUCGAUCGCCCGCACCGCCCCGUCGCCGGCGCCACCUUCGUGAGCCUCUUGUUCUUAUCCUUUUUAUAAAAAAAAUCAUGUUUGUAUGAUUUAGAUAGUUACUUGUAUAAUUUUCUUACCUGUAUGGUUGUUUGUUAUACAUAGUGGCAUGGUUUUGAUAUCAGUCCCCGUCGGCCCUCGUCCGGUUUAUGAUUCGGAUGUGGUAUAUGUAUAUUCUCUUUAUAACUAUUUGUUGAAUUUCGUGUUUAUGACAAUUGUGCCCAUCAAGUUGACAUAGAUAUUUUUAUUUAGGAGGUAUGUGAACCGGAAAUUGCAACUGACCCUCUUGUCGAGAAGUUAAAUUUAGUUGAAAAAGAAAACAAGUAUUUGAAUGAAAAAUUGAAAGAAUUGAAGAAGAGAAGAUGAAACUGGAGUUGUAUGUUGCCGAUGUCGCCGAUGAUCACAAGAUCAAGAUGGAUGCAAUGCGCUUGAAGAUUAGAAAGAUUAGAAAAUAUGCCGUAAUAAAGAGGCUUGGUAUCACUAUGCUGUUGGAUCAAUUGUUACCUUAGUUGCGAUCUUGAUCGCAUUUGUUGUUGCAUUUAAAUGCUUUAGCUAGAGAGUUUGUAUGUUGUUUUAUGAGAAUAAGUGUGUAUAAAUUUUAUGUAUGAACUUGUAUUAAUUUGGUCUUUUCGGUGUUGUGCAAUGAAGAUGAGCCGACAAUGGAUGUACGAUGACCGACGCUCUCCCCGGUUCAUUGAUGGUGUGCAUACUUUUCUGCUUGCGGCCGAGGCAAACAAGCGGUCGGAUGGUUUUAUGUGUUGUCCAUGUGGUGUCUGUAAUAAUGAUAACAAUUACUCUAACUCAAGAACCAUUCACGUCCACCUUUUUACGUCCGGUUUCAUGUCCAGCUAUAACUGUUGGACCAAGCACGGAGAAAGAGAGGGGUUCUAAUGGAAGAGAAUGAAGAAGAAGAGGAUGAUGACAGCUAUCCUCGCCAUGGGUUCCCUGAAUACGAUGGUACUACAAUGGGGGAAGAAGCUGAAGAAGAGGCAUCAGAGGAGCCCGCUAAUGAUCUUGGUCGGGCCAUUGCUGAUGCAAAGAGAAAUUGCGCAAGUGAAAAGGAGAAGUUGAAGUUGCAACGCAUGUUAGAGGAUCACAAGAAAUUGUUGUACCCAAAUUGCGAAGAUGACAAGAAAAAGCUGGGUACCACACUGGAAUUGUUGCAAUGGAAGGCAGAGAACGGUGUAUCCGACAAGGGAUUUGAAAAGUUGUUGAUAAUGUUAAGGAAGAUGCUUCCAAAGGACAACGAAUUGCCCGACAGUACGUACGAAGCAAAGAAGGAUGUCUGCCCUCAAGGAUUAGAGGUGCAGAAGAUACAUGAAUGCCCUAAUGACUGCAUCCUGUACCGAGGUGAGGAGUACGAGAAUUUGAAUGCAUGCCCGGUAUGCGGUGCAUUGUGCUAUAAGAUCAGCUAUGAUGACCCUGGUGAUGUUGAGGGCGAGUGUCUCAGGAAGAGAAUUUCUGCCAAGGUGAUGUGGUAUGCUCCUAUAAGACCACAGUUGAAACGUUUGUUCCAAAACAAAGAGCAUGCCAAGUUGAUGCGAUGGCACAAAGAAGUCCGUAAGAAAAACGGGAAGUUGAGAGUACCCGCUGAUGGCCCUUACGAACCGGGACUAAUGGUUGAUUCUCCACUAGUGAGAAAGGAUGGACGAAGAGGUGGUGGAAAAAAAUGAAACGUGAAACCUUAGAUUUUUUUGAAAAAGUGGAGAUAGAAAUAGAGAUUCAUGUGCGCUAGGCAAAAAAAAACUAGAUAAAAGAACAAGAGGCCGCCAAGGCCUUUAACCAUUAAAGUGUCACAUAUAUGUUUGGCUGUGUCGUAUUCAAGGCUCCGCAGACCUAAGAAAGGUUCGAACUCUGGGGCAUGUGCGAAGAACUCAACCUCUUCAGCCAACCAGUUCGUCGUCCCCACGGCCUAGCUCAAUGAACAAGAAAUGAGAGGGACACGACAGUUUACCCAGGUUCAGGCCCCCUUGCGGUGUAAGACCGUACUCCUGCUUUGGGGUGGAUUAGCCUCGCGAGGGGCUGAGGAUGAACUAGUACAGAGGAAGAACAACCUCAGGAGGUCUGUUCUUGUGUGAGUGUGAGCUAGUGAGGGUUUGGAUCCCAUCCCCCUCAUCGGUGGUGGCUGAGCUAUAUUUAUAGUGGCCUUGGUCCUCUUCCUCCAAUCGAAGGCGGGAAGGGAUCCCACAGUGGCCAAUUUUGAAGGGUGACAAGUAGUACAUCCUAUCCUGACGAAAGGUGGUCUUUGCCUGCAAAGCUUCUGGUCGUGACGCCGUGGUGGGCUCGGCGAUGACAUCCUUCCUGGCGGUCUUGGUCUUGUUGCACGGGAAUGGAAAUCUUUGGCUGAUUCCUCGGGACCCCGCGCCUGCGCUUGCCUCCUUAGCACCAAAGAGGAAAUCUUCUGCUCUGCGCCCGCUGGCACCCGCUUGGCCUUGUUCGUCAUGGCUUGCGUCACCUCAACCUCACGAGGUGGGCGCCUGCAUAGGAAUCUCCGCUCCUCGGGAGCCAGCCUGGGGAGGCCGCUCCCUCCGGAUGUCUUGGUGUCGUCCGCCUCACGAGGCUUGGCCCCUCGCGAGGGUCUUGUCUUGCCGAUGCUGAAGAUGGGCCGUACCAGGCCGUCGACGGAGCCACGCCGUGGGCCGCAAGCAGGCAAGUCCGGGUACCCUGGUUCCCGGAACGCUGAUAGUAGUCCCCGGGCCCAAGGCGCGCUCGGACUUGGCUUCGAGGCGAAGCCAAAGGGCAAGGGCAACGCGCCGUGGGCCCCAAUCGCCUGUGGACCGAGUCGAUGCGUGGCGCUUGAUGGGACGUGGGCGUCUCCACUUCCCCAUGCUGCCUCGGCAACCGCCUGACUUGACAACUGCCUGUUGCAUGCAGAAAAACCAUCAUUACUUGGAAUCGUGGGAGGCCAGCGGUUGGCAUCCCUCCGGCUAUAAAUGGGGGAAGGGGUGGAGCCCCCAGCCCAUCCUCGUCUUUUCGCCGCCUGCUCCUCCUUCCUCUUUGCUCCGACGUCUUGCCGAAUUGUCUAUGGCGCCAGUGAGAAGGUUUUCCACUGCGGAGAAGGGAAAAUCCCAUCAGGUGGAAUUUGAGUUGCUCCCGCCGAAGAAGAGGCCUGAUUGCUCCCGUGACACCGUCGCGGAGCCCAUGGCGACGCGGCCUUGGCAUGAACGGGCUCUGCCGGGCUUCCCUGUCCCCCGUGUAUGCCUGCGCGCAGAGCCCCGCGCAUAGGAGCGGCGGCCAACGAUGCGAGGAGCAGGGUCGCGGAGGAGAACUUGCAGUGGCCGCACGGCCACCCCACUCGCGGACCCACGCUGAAGGCACGGACCGUGAGUUUGUGGUGUGGGCGGCAAUGCCGCCGCGCACAUGGAUCCGGCUCCCGCGGUCCCUUGCAAGGGAGAUACCACAAAGGGGGCCACUGAGUUGUGGCUGCAGCACGAUGGAUGCUGCGGCCAGGCUUCAGAAGCAGAAGUCGAGGCCGUCAACUCCGGCGACGUCUUCAUGACUCGAGGAUGGGGCGCGAUCGCCCGUGCCUCCCCCCAAGAGGGAGGCCACGCCAUCCACUUCGAGUACGACAGGGUGUCAACGCUCUUCUUCAAGGUCUUCGGCGAGGAUGGUCGGCACCUGGAAUGCUUCUGACAGGAGCAGCGCCUCCUCGGGGCAUGCCUCGAGCGAAGAUGACAGCUAUGAGCCGCCGCGUCACCACAGCCAAGCCUAGUGGAGGAAACUUCCAGCGUGACGCGUGGGCGACGUUGUUUAGGCCACGGUCUUCGGGAGAUCCUUUCGUUUGGUUUUGUCCCUGUAGAAAACCAUGUAGGGCCCCGCAGGGAUAUGUAAAAACUAUGAUGCUUUUGCCUUAAUGCUGAUUAUUUCCAAUCAAUGCCACAUUUACGUUUCUCGUUGUGGCACGGUUCCCCCUUUCAUCCUCAUGGUAGCUUAGUGCUCUACGCCAGCAGGACCUAGUCCCCAGGGAAGCUUUAGUCAUUGCUGGUAUGCCAGGUCACGAUGCCGUGAUCAAGGCCGGGAGAUGAGCGGCCCAAGGUCCAGUAAGAGCCCCUGAGGCGCGAUGCUCAAGGGGUCGCCUUUGGCACGCAAGCGGCUCCCGAAGGAUUGAAAGGGAAACAUCCUUGCUCGAGCGAGAUCGCAAGAGGCAGAACGCUGAUCGUGAGGUUUAUGCCUGCGCGUAUGGGGUGACUUAUCUUGGCGAGCCUGCGGUGAUCCUUUCAUUGUGAGGACAACUUCUUGUGCGACAUCAGGCUAUGUCCUUCUGACGGUGGCACUCCCAGGCAGGACUCGUGCCAACCCCCUCUUUCCCGCUCAUCUGGAUGCUCUACGUCCUCCGGUCCCGGCCCUUGAGCGAGGCUCAGCCGCCGCUGGUAUGCUAGGUCGCGAUGCCGUGGUCAAGGCCAGGAGGUCAGGGCUCGAGAGCCGGUAGGAUCCCUUGAGGUGCGAUGCUCAGGGCCCCCCUUUAAUGUGCGAGCGAUUUGUGUGAAAAAGGAGUGCCUGGCCUCGCGAGGAUGCCUUGGAGGGGUCGCGACUCGAGGUGUUGGCGGGUCCGCUCGUGCUCCGGAGGUCCCUGUGGCACCCCGGCUCAGAGCGACCGGUUUGCCUUGCAUUCCCAGCCCAGAGAUCAAGUCUUCUGGCAACACGCAACAACUUGGUACAGAAAUACAACCGCUUUAUUGGUACUACCAGAACAUAGAGUUUGAUAUUACAAGUAGCGAGGCCAAGAGGCACACUUGGUGCUGCUGAACAUAUGUACAUUAUUUAGUAGACAUGAGCAGGGGCCUCGACAUCAUGAUAAGACUACGUGGCAACGGAACGAUGAUGUAGAAAGACUCCAUCUCACAGGGACACUGAUGUGGACACGGUCUAGACUGCGAUACGAUAUGCAACUCCAAGGUAUGACUUCUCCUGAAACUGGCAUGACAUGCCAGGUCAGUACAUUGAAUGUACUUGCAAGCUCACACAAACAAAGCAACAAUGGCAAACAAGAACAAUGAUAUUUAAGCAGGUUUAAUGCAAGAAUUAACAUGUUACUCAUGAAGUGAUCGUGCUCAUAACAGGGCCUUUCCGACCCGCUUACCAUCUCGGUUACCUCGUAACCACGAACCUCAUCAUAUCAAGGUGAUCACUCCCGGAUCACAAACGAAACCACCUCGGUGGUCCUCACAACUUAACCGACAUAACCAGUGCCACAAGUAUUCAUUUAGUGCGCAAGUUUAAUAUUUUCUUGUUGAUCCACGGUGUGACCUACUAUGAACUUGUGUCCAUGACCGAGGACGCUGCUAUCGAUAGAUUAUACACACUCUGCAGAGGUUACCACACUGUACCCACACCACGGAACCCAUGGCCUCGGACUCCCAUUCGGGUGGACGAACGGCGUUCCGACAGAACCAGGCUAUUGCCAUGACACUCUCCCGGCCACUCCGACCAACUCCCCUUUGGGCUAAGUCAUGGGUGGCCCCGAUGCCACUCCGUACAUCCAACGGCCCCCGUCGUGACAAAACAAUCGUCCCAAAGGGGAUAUGGUACCAAAAUAACUACGGGCACACAAGGUUAUACCUGCCUACCGGGCCAGGGUAGUGCCAGCGCAUAACCUUCCCUAGUUGGAGGUACCGGCGAGAGGCAUAACAAUAGAUCGAGAAAGGUCCCCCCUCAUAAAGGCAAAUGUGGUUGCACUUUGGGAAGCUCGAUUUGGUGGCACCAUGACUCGAUCAACAACAUGUUCAAGUUGGUUUAUUAUCAGGUUUCAACUUGCAAAAAUUUCACCGAGUCAUAGUAUGCCAUGAAAAUGCAAUGACAAAUAUUGCAUUACUUUCAACAUAAUCUCAAUAUUAAGUUAUUAACUAAAUCAAGCAUAAUGUCAUAUUACUCUACUACAUAAACUUAACCAUCCAACUAUAAUGCUACUGAUAACAGAAUAAUCACAGCAAGAACAUGCAACUAGCAUCAAAUGAAUUUAUAUGAAUUUUCUAUAUGCAUUUAAAAUAAUGAUAUUCAAGUGAAACCAUAGUUAUUGAAAUGGCAUUCUUGCAAAUAUUUGUGAUGGCUUGCCUUAGUGCAGAGGAGGGUCACACUCCUCCUGGUUCUCCUCAAGGCAAGUUUCUUACAAUGAAAAUGAUUAAAAUAGCAAAAAUAAAAUGUCAUAUAACACUGUUUAAUUCACCAGAAAAUAAUCACAACAAGCAAAAAUCUCAUCUUUUGCAUGCUGAUAGAAAAUUUUAACACAAAACCAAUGCAAAAAGAAUCAUGUCAUUUGGACUUAUAGAAUAGGAGUUAUAGCUGGUCAAAGUUUAGUCAAUUUUCUGAUUAUAAAUUUGAUUUUUCAGAAAAUCAGAGAGGGGGGUGAUGUCGAAGGCGUAAACCAGCGGGGCGUCUCCACUCAUACUGCUUCGGGAGGCGGCUGAGUGGCUGACAAUGGGCCCCCGUGGUCAGGUUUAGAGGGAGAGGGAGAGAAACAGAGGAGGAGGGGUGGCUCGUCGCCGGUGGUUCUCCGACGAGGAGAGCUCGGCGGCUGCCGUGGAAGGGAGGGAUGGACGCACAAGGUUACGACGCACCUGGACGUACCCAAAAUGUGGCGAGAGGUGGUCGGACAAGGUCGGCAUGCUCGUCUCCAGCGGCUGCAGCGGGCGGAGCACGUCGGAGAGGAAGACGCCGACGACGUGAGGCCGUUCCAGGGGCUCCAGAGGCACCAGCUAGGACCAGUGGACCACCAGGAACACGCUUGAGCAGUCGGUGGAGCUCGAGAGGCAGUGGAGUGGGAGGGGGCAGAGGACUUGGAUCGCCGGCGACCGGCGGAGGGGAAAGGCGGCCAGUGGCCCGCCUGGCCCAUCCACGGCUAGCUGAGGAGGUGUGGAGGUUAGGUGCGUGUGAUUUCGUGCUCGGAGAGGGGCGGAUCGAGCUCUAUUUAAAGGUGGAGGGGAGCGGGGUCUUGGGCUCGCCGGAGGGCUCUGGAAGCAGCGCUCGGCAACGGCUGGCACUAGUGAGAGGGGCGAAGGACUCCACGGCUCACGCGGCCACUGUGGGAGGGCGCAGACGAGCACAGGACGCAGGUGGAGACGAGCACAGGGGCACGGGUGCACUUUGCACUUGGCCUCGUUGUGCCCGUGCUCGCUGCGGCGAACUACGGGAUCAGCGAGCGGCAGGGAGGGGUCAAGGGCGACGGGACGAGGGUGGUGGCAUGGUGCGGCAGGCUGAGGCGAGCUCCGACGCGGGCACGGGCGAAACAGAGCCGCUGGCGUGACGUAGAGCGCGUCGACCGCAUGCCAGGGGCCUUGUCCUCGCGCGGUCACCGCGUGAACUCUGGCAUCACGUGACCUGGGCUGUGCAAAUAGUUGGAGAUAUGCCCUAGAGGCAAUAAUAAAAUAGUUAUUAUUAUAUUUCCUUGUUCAUGAUAAUUGUCUAUUGUUCAUGCUAUAAUUGUAUUAACCGGAAACCGUAAUACAUGUGUGAAUACAUAGACCACAACAUGUCCCUAGUAAACAUCUAGUUGACUAGCUCGUUGAUCAAUAGAUGGUUGUGGUUACCUGACCAUGGACAUUGGAUGUCGUUGAUAACGGGAUUACAUCAUUAGGAGAAUGAUGUGAUGGACAAGACCCAAUCCUAAGCAUAGCACAAGAUCGUGUAGUUCGUUUGCUAGAGCUUUUCUAAUGUCAAGUAUCAUUUCCUUAGACCAUGAGAUUGUGCAACUCCCGGAUACCGUAGGAAUGCUUUGGGUGUAUCAAACAUCACAACGUAACUGGGUGACUAUAAAGGUGCACUACAGGUAUCUCCAAAAGUGUCUGUUAGGUUGGCACGAAUCGAGACUGGGAUUUGUCACUCCGUAUGAUGGAGAGGUAUCUCUGGGCCCACUCGGUAAUGCAUCAUCAUAAUGAGCUCAAUGUGACUAAGGAGUUAGCCACGGGAUCAUGAGUUACAGAAUGAGUAAAGAGACUUGCUGGUAACGAGAUUGAACGAGGUAUGGGGAUACCGACGAUCGAAUCUCGGGCAAAUAACAUACCGGUGGACAAAGGGAAUUGUAUACGGGAUUGAUUGAAUCCCCGACAUCGUGGUUCAUCCGAUGAGAUCAUCGUGGAACAUGUGGGAGCCAAUAUGGGUAACUAGAUCCCGUUAUUGGUUAUUGUCCAGAGAGGUGUCUCGGUCAUGUCUGCAUGGUUCCCGAACCCAUAGGGUCUACACACUUAAGGUUCGGUGACGCUAGAGUUGUAAUGGAAAUUGUAUGUGGUUACCGAAGGUAGUUCGGAGUCCCGGAUGAGAUCCCGGACAUCACGAGGAGUUCUGGAAUGGUCCGGAGGUGAAGAUCGAUAUAUUGGACGAAGGGUAUUGGAGUCCGGAAAUGUUCCGGGGGUACCAGGCUAUGGCCAGCAUGACCGAAAGGUGUUUCGGGAGCCCCGACAGUGUUGCAGAGCCUCAUGUGCCAAGGGGAGGGGGCAAACCAUCCCACUAAGGGGCCGUGCGCCCCCACACCCUUUCCCAUAUUGCUUGAGGAGGUGGGGCGCCUCCACCUGACUUGGGAGGCAAGCCUCCACCUGGCUUGGCUUGGGGGGCAAGUCUCCCUAGGGUUUCCCUAGGGAGAUCCAAUCUGCCUUGACCGCCGCCCCCUAGGGGAAACCCUAGGGCGCCUCCCCCUCUCCCCUUCCCCCUAUAUAUAGUGAGGGGGUGGGAGGGCAGCCGCACCCUUCCCUGGCGCAACCCUUCCCCCCUCCAACACCUCCUCCUCCUCCGUAGUGCUUGGCGAAGCCCUGCCAAAGAACCGCAAGCUCCACCACCACGCCGUCAUGCUACCGGAGCUCUCCCUCAACUUCUCCUCUCCCCUUGCUGGAUCAAGAAGGAGGAGACGUCCUGGGCUGUACGUGUGUUGAACGCGCAGGUGCCGUCCGUUCGGCGCUUGGAUCGGAUCUUCCGCGAUUUGAAUCGCCGCGAGUACGACUCCAUCAACCAAGUUCUUGUAACGCUUCCGCUUAGUGAUCUUCAAGGGUAUGAAGAUGCUCUCCCUCUCUCUCGUUGCUAGCAUCUCCUAGAUUGAUUUCGGUGACACGUAGGAAUUUUUUUGAAUUAUUACUACGUUCCCCAAUAGUGGUAUCAGAGCUAGGUCUAUGCGUAGAUUCUAUGCACGAGUAGAACACAAGUAGUUGUGGGCGAUGAUUUGCUCAAUUUGCUUACCGUUACUAGUCCUAUCUUGAUUCGUCGGCAUGGUGAUGAAGCGGCCCGGACCGACCUUACACGUAUGCUUACGCGAGACAGGUUCCACCGACUGACAUGCACUUGUUGCAUCAGGUGGCUAGCGGGUGUCUAUCUCUCCCACUUUAGUCGGAUCGGAUUCGAUGAAGAGGGUCCUUAUGAAGGGUAAAUUGCAAUUGGCAUAUCACCGUUGUGGCUUUUGUGUAGGUAAGAGACGUUCUUGCUAGAAACCCACAGCAGCCACGUAAAACAUGCAACAACAAUUAGAGGACACUACAAAAAAAAGACACAUCCGUGAC